rnacentral:rRNA from 1 species
UGGGGAAUCUUGGACAAUGGGGGCAACCCUGAUCCAGCCAUGCCGCGUGAGUGAUGAAGGCCUUAGGGUCGUAAAGCUCUUUCGCCUGUGAAGAUAAUGACGGUAGCAGGUAAAGAAACCCCGGCUAACUCCGUGCCAGCAGCCGCGGUAAUACGGAGGGGGUUAGCGUUGUUCGGAAUUACUGGGCGUAAAGCGCACGUAGGCGGACCAGAAAGUUGGGGGUGAAAUCCCGGGGGCUCAACCCCGGAACUGCCUCCAAAACUAUUGGUCUAGAGUUCGAGAGAGGUGAGUGGAAUUCCAAGUGUAGAGGUGAAAUUCGUAGAUAUUUGGAGGAACACCAGUGGCGAAGGCGGCUCACUGGCUCGAUACUGACGCUGAGGUGCGAAAGUGUGGGGAGCAAAACAGGAUUAGAUACCCCUGGUAGUCCACACCGUAAAACGAUGAAUGCCAGUCGUCGGGUAGCAUGCUAUUCGGUGACACACCUAACGGAUUAAGCAUUCCGCCUGGGGAGUAC